rnacentral:tRNA from 1 species
GCGGAGGUGCUGGAAUCGGCAGACAGGCACGUUUGAGGGGCGUGUGNNAUGGCGUAGGGGUUCAAGUCCCCUUCUCCGCACCA